rnacentral:tRNA from 1 species
AGCUUUGAGGUGUUUUACACGUCAGAUUGCAAACCUGAAGUAGUAGGCUAAUCCCUGCCGGGGCUU